rnacentral:lncRNA from 1 species
AAACUGUCAAGGCUGUUCCAGAAUGUCUCCCACCCCCUCCAGGAAGGCACUUUAUUUUUAACCCCCAAAAAUUGAAAUAGAUUAUACCCCCACCCACCUAUAAAUGACCACAACACUUUUAAAAACCUCGAAAUUGAUAAUAUUACACUUUUAUCAACAUACUGACACCCAACUCCUGCUUUGGUACACCACCUUCUUUAUCCGUUUACUUUGAAAUACAACUACCCACAUUUAAACAAUAAGCCUACCUUGGAGUGGAGUGGAGGGGCCUUGCAGCAUAUUUUCAUCAAUAGAAAACAAAAACGGCAUUUAAAUUUCUUCUUUUGGCGUUGUUCAAAGAUUGAUUUUGAAUAAUUACUGC